rnacentral:tRNA from 1 species
GGCUGUUUAGUCCAGUGGUAUGAUUCUCGCUUAGGGUGCGAGAGGUCCCGGGUUGAAAUCCCGGAACCGCCC